rnacentral:rRNA from 1 species
UACGUAGGGUGCAAGCGUUGUCCGGAAUCAUUGGGCGUAAAGCGCGCGUAGGCGGCCCGGUCAGUCCGUCGUGAAAGUCAAAGGCUCAACCUUUGAAUGUCGAUGGAUACUGCCGGGCUAGAGUCCGGAAGAGGCGAGUGGAAUUCCUGGUGUAGCGGUGGAAUGCGCAGAUAUCAGGAGGAACACCAAUAGCGAAGGCAGCUCGCUGGGACGGUACUGACGCUAAGGCGCGAAAGCGUGGGGAGCGAACAGG